GAUACUUCUGUCCAGCCACAGUUCGAGCGUGAACAAACCGUCGCAAGCAAUGGGGGCAGCUCUGAGAGAACCUCGGAGGGGAUGAAAUCCCAUGA
rfam:Clostridium sp. CAG:1024 genomic scaffold, scf297